UACAGAGGGGGCAAGCGUUGUUCGGAAUUACUGGGCGUAAAGGGCGCGUAGGCGGCCCGCUAAGUCGAACGUGAAAUCCCCGGGCUCAACCCGGGAACUGCGUCCGAUACUGGUGGGCUUGAAUCCGGGAGAGGGAUGCGGAAUUCCAGGUGUGAGCGGUGAAAUGCGUAGAUAUCUGGAGGAACACCGGUGGCGAAGGCGGCAUCCUGGACCGGCAUUGACGCUGAGGAGCGAAAGCCAGGGGAGCAAACGGG
rnacentral:rRNA from 1 species